rnacentral:rRNA from 1 species
GACGAACGCUGGCGGCGUGCCUAAUACAUGCAAGUUGAGCGAUGAAGCUUGGUGCUUGCACCAAUUUGAAGAGCAGCGAACGGGUGAGUAACGCGUGGGGAAUCUGCCUUUGAGCGGGGGACAACAUUUGGAAACGAAUGCUAAUACCGCAUAACAACUUUAAACAUAAGUUUUAAGUGUGAAAGAUGCAAUUGCAUCACUCAAAGAUGAUCCCGCGUUGUAUUAGCUAGGUGGUGAGGUAAAGGCUCACCAAGGCGAUGAUACAUAGCCGACCUGAGAGGGUGGUCUGCCACAUUGGGACUGGUACACGGCCCAAACGCCUACGGGAGGCAGCAGUAGGGAAUCUUCGGCAAUGGACGAAAGUCUGGCCGAGCAACGCCGCGUGAGUGAAGAAGGUUUUCGGAUCGUAAAACUCUGUUGGUAGAGAAGAACGUUGGUGAGAGUGGAAAGCUCAUCAAGUGACGGUAACUACCCAGAAAGGGACGGCUAACUACGUG